CAUAAUACUUACGAAUCGCAUGGCUUGUGCCGGCGAUGGUUCAUUCAAAUUCUGCCCUAUCAACUUUCGAUGGUAGGAUAGUGGCCUACCAUGGUUUCAACGGGUAACGGGGAAUUAGGGUUCUAUUCCGGAGAGGGAGCCUGAGAAACGGCUACCACAUCCAAGGGAAGGCAGCAGGCGCGCAAAUUACCCAAUCCCGACACGGGGAGGUAGUGACAAUAAAUACUGAUACAGGGGCUCUUUUGGGUCUUGUAAUUGGAAUGAGUACAAUUUAAAUCCCUUAACGAGGAACAAUUGGAGGGCAAGUCUGGUGCCAGCAGCCGCGGUAAUUCCAGCUCCAAUAGCGUAU
rnacentral:rRNA from 1 species